GAAAACAUGUUUAUGGGUAUGGGUCAUUGAACAGACUUGGCGGUCUCAAUGGGAUACCUUGACGAAGGUACCCGCGAGAAUGAUUCUGGCAGGGGCCAAGUUUAAGAAAUUCAUAAGCCGGGAAAUUUUGAUGAAAAGAAAUUAUUUGGUAUAGAUUGAAACGAAUUUUGUGUUAUGAACAUUAUUGAGAUAUAACGUUUUUAUAUUGUCUCCAUCUACUCGGCUUUAGAUGCUUUUGAUGGUAAUUGUUUACUCACUGAGAUUAUGUAAUCAUAAUCUCACCCCUCUUCCUAUUCAUUUUUCAAGCUCAGGACAGUUUGUUGAUAGUUGAUUAAGACAAGAAUUAAUCUCAGAGUUGCAUCUUAGAAAGUAAGGGUUCGUAACCCUACAUCUUCUUAGUCAGUUGGGGGCCCACGUGUCACUGUAAAAGUAAUUUUAUUCUUCAGUUGUUUGAUUUAAAGUAUGUAUAAAUAUAUUUAGCUUUUACACCAUGUUUUUGGCGAGUUUCGAUAUUUUUGAAGAAAAAUGACGAAAAUGCCCCUAUGAGCUAGAAAGUAAUAUUUUAUUGUUUUGAUUUGGAAAUGACUUAUGAUUUUUUUGAAAUGUGAGAUUUAAUAACUGUCGCUCACUAGGGAGAUGCAGAAGCUGAUGCUAAGCUUUGCGGGGUUUCAAUCGGCAUUCGGGGUAAUGAGUGCCUAUCGGGACGUCGCGGCGGUUGUCACGGGCUCGAUGGGAGUUUCGGG
rnacentral:lncRNA from 1 species